UACAGAGGGGGCAAGCGUUGUUCGGAAUUACUGGGCGUAAAGGGCGCGUAGGCGGCCUUCUAAGUCGAACGUGAAAUCCCCGGGCUCAACCCGGGAACUGCGUCCGAUACUGGAAGGCUUGAAUCCGGGAGAGGGAUGCGGAAUUCCAGGUGUAGCGGUGAAAUGCGUAGAUAUCUGGAGGAACACCGGUGGCGAAGGCGGCUAUCUGGACAACAACUGACACUGAGGCACGAAAGCGUGGGGAGCAAACAGG
rnacentral:rRNA from 1 species